AUAAUGGGUCAGCGACUUAUAUUCUGUAGCAAGGUUAACCGAAUAGGGGAGCCGAAGGGAAACCGAGUCUUAACUGGGCGUUAAGUUGCAGGGUAUAGACCCGAAACCCGGUGAUCUAGCCAUGGGCAGGUUGAAGGUUGGGUAACACUAACUGGAGGACCGAACCGACUAAUGUUGAAAAAUUAGCGGAUGACUUGUGGCUGGGGGUGAAAGGCCAAUCAAACCGGGAGAUAGCUGGUUCUCCCCGAAAGCUAUUUAGGUAGCGCCUCGUGAAUUCAUCUCCGGGGGUAGAGCACUGUUUCGGCAAGGGGGUCAUCCCGACUUACCAACCCGAUGCAAACUGCGAAUACCGGAGAAUGUUAUCACGGGAGACACACGGCGGGUGCUAACGUCCGUCGUGAAGAGGGAAACAACCCAGACCGCCAGCUAAGGUCCCAAAGUCAUGGUUAAGUGGGAAACGAUGUGGGAAGGCCCAGACAGCCAGGAUGUUGGCUUAGAAGCAGCCAUCAUUUAAAGAAAGCGUAAUAGCUCACUGGUCGAGUCGGCCUGCGCGGAAGAUGUAACGGGGCUAAACCAUGCACCGAAGCUGCGGCAGCGACACUAUGUGUUGUUGGGUAGGGGAGCGUUCUGUAAGCCUGUGAAGGUGUACUGUGAGGUAUGCUGGAGGUAU
rnacentral:rRNA from 1 species